rnacentral:rRNA from 1 species
AUGGCUGGUGGCUCCUACUUACUGCGGACGAAGUUUUUGGAUCCGAAGUAUGCUCCCCUCGAUGGAUGUUGGAGUCUUGCAGAUGCAUAUGCGGACUUGGCAAAGAGUAUAGCUGAUGCAGCCAAGUUUUUCGAGGAUCAAGGUGGUAAAGAAGUGGAGAAGCUCUUCUGGUCGCAAUUCAAUGCUCCCGCGCACCCGCUGCCGUUAAGUGAGAAGAUGGCUGCUGUAGUGGAGCUUCAUAGGCUGUCCGGGCUUGCAAUGCGGUCUGUUAUAGACCAUCUUUGGCCAAAGGGGCCUAAGCCGGAUAGUUACUUUGGUUUGGUGCAACAAUUCCUUGGGGCUGUGCCUCAGAUCGACGCCAUGAGAAGGGCGGCGUUCAUAGAGGGUGCACGAAUGGCUCUUGCCCGCGUUAAAGCCUAUUGGACAGAUACGGAGGCCACCAUUGUAGCGACCCAGAAUCCGGCGGGAGGCCAGUAUCCGGCUGAGCACUACUUGGAGCAGGUAAUAGAAGGUGCCCGCUUAAUAGGGGCGCAGUGCUCGAAGAAUAUAUUGUUCGAGUGA